CUGGGCGGCAUUGUCGGUGCCUGGGGGACUCGGGACCCGCACAUCGUGCAGUAGGCAGAUGGGCAACCACGAGGACUGAUGUGUGUUCCCUGGACCUCCUUUUGCUGUUGUACCCAGAUGCCAUAUUGACCGGAAGUCCAGGUGAAGGUCAAGGGAGAAGAGAGAAGACGCCGGAGAGAAGAGGUCAUAGGAGUCGACCCAGAGUGGGGCCGUGAUUCGACGAAGCCCGGGGAGAUCGAGGGAAGAUCGGCGAAGGGGAAACCAUGAGCUCCAACUUGUGCACACUAGACUGUUUCAUUAAAAUGGGCACUUUUCUUUUUUUGUUUUUUCUUUACUAACCCUUUAGUCAAAUUAAGAAUUAUAAAGUUAAAUCAUUUAAUUGUAUGUGGUGUACUGUCCAUUUUGUGGUACUGAUUUGUAACCGGGUAACGAAUCACGCAGCAUUCACACAAACGGGUUUCGGGAUGGGCUCGCGCCUCAAUUUCCCCUGUUUGACGGGGCUGGAGAUUGUCCCCCCUAGACAUACGCAGCCGAUGGAACUGGAGUGUUUCAUCGUGGGGGCUCGUCCGGGAUCGAUUUCAUUGGAUGCUGUGUGAUUGCCCUGAGCAUUGAUCCAGUGGGUUGUGUGUUUAAGUCUGUGUUAAACUAUUGUCCAGUAAAGUGAUUACGGUAUGUGGUUAUGGAUUGCUCGGAGAUCAGUUUUACUGGCCCCUAAUGAAGCCGGAGGUCGAAGAGUAAUGCAGGCCCUGCAUUCGAUGCAUUCAGAGGAAGACGCUGCCUACGAGGGCCACUCUAUUGUCCCAUUUGCAGAGUGCAGGGCCCCUUGACCUGGUGUGAAUGAAUUUCCUGUCAAUAGAGCCUGAUGCCAACAACAUGGUGAAUGUUUUGGUCAUUACGGAUCACUACACCAGAUAUGCGCAAGCUUUCCUUGCCAAGGAUCAGAGGGCAUCCACAGUAGCCACAGUGUUAUGGGAGAGGUAUUUCAUUGACUAUGACCUCCCCAGGCAGAUGCAUAGUGAUCAGGGAGUAGGCUCAUACAUGAGUUACUGGGUAUCGUAAACACAAAAUAAUCUGCAGAUGCUGGGGUCAAAGCAGCA